rnacentral:lncRNA from 1 species
CACUGAAAUCAACAAAGAUGAUUUGUCAAGAAGGACUAGUUAUCACAUAAAGUUGACAAUGAGCAGCCUAACAAACUAAAUUCACUAUUUUCACAACCAAACACUCAUUAGUUUGUCAAUUCAGCCACAAAAAGGGGUAACAAGUAAAACGCUACGCCUGGAACAGGAAAGUAACUGAAAAAAUCAGAUAAUCCAAGGGAAAUAGGAUAAUAACACAAUUUGCAACUACUCUCCACACAUUAGAUCCCCUUAUUUUGUGAUCUACAAGACCACUAAAAUUUAACAUAAUGAAACAAGGAGCAAUACAGACAAGAGGGGUUGCUCUGAUGGUAAGCAACCCCCACUUCCAACUGAGAGGUUGUGAGUAUCUUAAAGACAAGAGGGGUUGCUCUGAUGGUAAGCAACCCCCACUUCGAACCGAGAGGUUGUGAGUUCGAGUCUCCCUAAUAGCAAGGUGGGAAGUUCUUGGAGGGAAGGAUGCCGGGGUCUAUUUGGAAACAGCCUCUCUACCCAAGGUAGGGCUAAGGUCUGCGUACACACUACCCUCCACAACCCCCACUAAGUGAGAUUAUACUGGGUUGUUGUUGUUGUUGUUGAAACAAGGAGCAAUACAAUAUUCUUUUGGGGUAUUAAUAAAUUAACACAACAGCCUGCAAGGGUUGGCUAAGUGGUCUCCCACAUGAGAGACUUGGGAUCGAUUCCCUCACCAGCAGCCUCCUCGGUCAGAGCCCGUCGCCUUGGGUGUGUCUAGUGUAGUUUAUAUUUUCUGUGUGAUUUGCGGACUAUUACGCAGUGACCAGGUUACCCAGUGCGCACCAAACGGUAGCGAAUGCGGGUUUUCCCUCCCAAAUUCCACUUGUGGGAUUAUAGGGUUUGUUGUUCAUAGCAAAAUGAAGCAAAAGAUCAUAGACAAUUAAAGAAAAAAUAGAAGAGAUUACCUAGCAACAGAAAAAGUCCAAGGGGUGAUAGGCUGAUCUUCAGUAGCUCUGUCUUCUCCGUACAUAUCCUCAACACCACCAGCAACACCACAUUUAUCUUUCAUAUCAAGAACAGUCUUCUCCAUACAUAUCCUCAACACCACCAGCAACACCACAUUUAUCUUUCAUAUCAAGAACAGAAUCACCAUUUGAUGAUAUUUCCUUUAGUGUGCUCUCCAUCACUACCCUUAUCUUUAAUAUUCCUCGUCCUCUUUGGCCCAAUAAAAACAACCCCAAUGCCUUUCUCUGCCAAUGAAACAAACUGAAACAACAAUAACCCACAAAGACAACAAAACAAAGAGUAAAUAAAUACCCAAGAAAACUACAAAUGUUCUUUGCUUCUGCUACCAAAAACAGAACAACCCACCUUUUAUAACCCAAGAAACAAUGAAAAUUCAAAAUGUUUGAAUGAAACUUUCCAAUGUCAAAUUAAAAA